GGCAUUGGGGCAGCUAUACAUGCAGUCGAGCGAACUGAUUAGAAGCUUGCUUCUAUGACGUUAGCGGCGGACGGGUGAGUAACACGUGGGCAACCUGCCUGUAAGACUGGGAUAACUUCGGGAAACCGAAGCUAAUACCGGAUAGGAUCUUCUCCUUCAUGGGAGAUGAUUGAAAGAUGGUUUCGGCUAUCACUUACAGAUGGGCCCGCGGUGCAUUAGCUAGUUGGUGAGGUAACGGCUCACCAAGGCAACGAUGCAUAGCCGACCUGAGAGGGUGAUCGGCCACACUGGGACUGAGACACGGCCCAGACUCCUACGGGAGGCAGCAGUAGGGAAUCUUCCGCAAUGGACGAAAGUCUGACGGAGCAACGCCGCGUGAGUGAUGAAGGCUUUCGGGUCGUAAAACUCUGUUGUUAGGGAAGAACAAGUACGAGAGUAACUGCUCGUACCUUGACGGUACCUAACCAGAAAGCCACGGCUAACUACGUGCCAGCAGCCGCGGUAAUACGUAGGUGGCAAGCGUUAUCCGGAAUUAUUGGGCGUAAAGCGCGCGCAGGCGGUUUCUUAAGUCUGAUGUGAAAGCCCACGGCUCAACCGUGGAGGGUCAUUGGAAACUGGGGAACUUGAGUGCAAAAUAGAAAAGCGGAAUUCCACGUGUAGCGGUGAAAUGCGUACAGAUGUGGAGGAACACCAGUGGCGAAGGCGGCUUUUUGGUCUGUAACUGACGCUGAGGCGCGAAAGCGUGGGGAGCAAACAGGAUUAGAUACCCUGGUAGUCCACGCCGUAAACGAUGAGUGCUAAGUGUUAGAGGGUUUCCGCCCUUUAGUGCUGCAGCUAACGCAUUAAGCACUCCGCCUGGGGAGUACGGUCGCAAGACUGAAACUCAAAGGAAUUGACGGGGGCCCGCACAAGCGGUGGAGCAUGUGGUUUAAUUCAAAGCAACGCGAAGAACCUUACCAGGUCUUGACAUCCUCUGACACUCUACAGAUAGAGCGUUCCC
rnacentral:rRNA from 2 species